GUCCAGGUGGCAGACUCCGGUUAAUGCAGAAGACCUAAACCCUUCUCACAGGGGUUCAACUCCCCUCCUAGACC
rnacentral:tRNA from 1 species